rnacentral:piRNA from 1 species
UGAAAGCUGCUGUCUCUAAGACCCU